rnacentral:misc_RNA from 1 species
UUCUGAUCAUAUUAACUUGGCGAAGUACAUGUAUGAUGUAAAACUUAGGGGUCAAAAAAGGAAGACAUAGAGAAAGGAUCUGAUUAAUUAUAUCAGAUACCCAUUUAAGAAACUGCACAAUAUGAUAUUAUAUGAUGCAUGUCCAGAAAAAGGGGAAAAUUAUCUCCUGUUUUAUACGCUAAAGGCUGAGAGAUUGUUUGGAGGGUUAAGCAGUGGAACCAAAUGCGCAUCACCAUAUGAUUCUCUUGCAAAGCUUGUAGCCUGAUAAAAGAGUGCAAGUUGCAAUAACUAGGAAAUCUGCAAAUGAAAUCACCUUCCACAGCGAUGCAGUUUUGCUCUUCUGUUGAGAGGCCAAUAUUGCUACUGAACAAGCAGAGAUUAAAAGAUAUCCCAGCAACUGAUCAAGUAUAAAGCUCAGGUAAUCAGAGACCAUGUCAGAGAUGAGAAUGCCCCUGUGUGCUAUAUCAUAAAUACCUUUGAAGAGUUGGAAGGCAGAGUAGACAAAAACUAAAAUAUAUACAAUGAAACAGUACGUUAACUCUGAGUAUCCAGUGAACAGUUGACCAUUCUUCUUUGAUGAUGAAGCAGCCAGUGACAGUGCAGAGACAAAGGAGAAUACGAGGGUCAGGAAUCGAAGAAGUAGAUUGGAAUAAUGGAUGGAAGGUCUAGAGCUCCACCAUGUAGAGGCAUCAGAGAGAGAGAAAGGCGAAGGCGUUGGAAAGGGUCUUUGAGCUAUAGAAUUGGCUGAUACAGGGGAUACACCAGCCACUGGUCUACAAGCAACAACUAGCACCUCCCCUUCUUGUUUCAUUGUUUUGUUCAACUCUCCUUUCUUCAAAAAUGAACUUGAGUUUAUUUUUCUUGCGUUUUCACAGUAUAUCUGAUAACGUUUAUGGAGUUUCGAGGAAAGGAUCUUGGCAGUGAUAGCAAGUAAUUUUAGUCAAUAACUAGAAAGAAAACUGUAGAGGAGACGAAGUUUUUUAUGUUAAAGUCCAAUAUCUUAGUCCAUGUAAGCAUGAAAGACAAACAAUGACCUACUUGAGCUAAUACUUUAUGCUUAUGCUUAAGCAAGAAACAGAUAAGAUUGUAACAUCGAAACUUCUCAAUUUAAAAACAAGAGGAAGGUGAGAGAAGGAUACACACG